rnacentral:rRNA from 1 species
CGGCAAGCUUAACCGACGAGGGGAGGCGUAGCGAAAGCGAGUCUGAACAGGGCGCAUAGUCGUUGGGAGUAGACCCGAAACCGGGUGAUCUACCCAUGGCCAGGGUGAAGGCGCGGUAACACGCGCUGGAGGCCCGCACCCACGUCUGUUGAAAAAGACGGGGAUGAGCUGUGGGUCGGAGUGAAAGGCUAAUCAAACCCGGAGAUAGCUGGUUCUCCCCGAAAGCUAUUUAGGUAGCGCCUCGCGUCUCACUCUCGGGGGUAGAGCACUGUUUCGGCUAGGGGGCCAUCCCGGCUUACCAACCCGAUGCAAACUCCGAAUACCGAGAAGUGCAAUCGCGGGAGACAGACGGCGGGUGCUAACGUCCGUCGUCGAGAGGGAAACAACCCAGACCGCCAGCUAAGGUCCCCAAAUCAUGGCUCAGUGGCAAACGAGGUGGGAAGGCCCAGACAGCCAGGAGGUUGGCUUAGAAGCAGCCACCCUUUAAAGAAAGCGUAAUAGCUCACUGGUCGAGUCGGCCUGCGCGGAAGAUGUAACGGG